GAAAAAUAUAUAUUUUUAUGUAAUGUUACAUAAAAUAUAUAAAUAGAGAAAAUUUUGGUCAAUCAUUUUAGUUUUAAAAAUAAAAAAGAAACCGAAUCAAAUAAAUGAAAAUUUCAAAAUGAAAAUCAAACCAAAUUAGUUCAUUUUUCGAUUCAUUGAAAUCUUGUGAACCCUAAACUCUAUCCCAUUUCAUAGAUCAUAUUCAUACACUUACAGUGUAAAGAG
rnacentral:misc_RNA from 1 species